GGAGAAGCAGGCUCCAUGCACCGGGAGCCCGACGUGGGAUUUGAUCCUGGGUCUCCAGGAUCACGCCCUAGGCCAAAGGCAGGUGCCAAACCGCUGCGCCACCCAGGGAUCCCUCCGUUCUCAUUUCUUGUGCACUUCGGUUCACUGCAACCCGACAUUGCCCUGCCACUUAUCUCUGUACCAGCUCCUUGACGACACCCCUUAAUCCUCACAGGAUCUAAUGAAAGGGGGACAUAGUCCUACCCUGCAGACGACACUCAGGUUCAGGAGAUGACACCACUAGGAAGAGACAGACAUGCCCAUCUGACUCUAAACCAUUUCUUUCCACUGUCCUGUGCUGUUUCCCUGGAAUCUCUUUCCCUGCUUACCAGGUACCUGAUUGCUGGUUUUAUCUCUGUGGGGCACUGGCCAUUGAAGAACCUUUCCGAUUACUGUGGCUUUCAUGACAGACAUGUCCUCUGGAAGGUUUGGGUUGCUGCAGGUGUUGGAAAUACUCUAAGCCGGUUAAACAAUGAGGGAAGUACUACUUCCAUAACACAGAAGUCAACAAAAAGUGGCAAAGCUCGAUCUUGGAGCUCGAUGUCACCAGCAACCUAAUUGCUUUCCUCCUUUGGGGUCCUCAUCCUAAGUUUGGCUCUCUGUGGUCUCCAGGUGGUUGCCAGCAAUUCCUUAAACUACGUGUCUCCUGCUUCAAGUCCGGAAGUGGAAGAAAUCCUAGAUGCAGGAUUCCCAGCAAAAAUCCUGGGUUUCUCUCCAAUUGGAUCAUCCCCACUUAAUGUCCAUUGGUGAAUCAUCAUGGCCCCGGGAUGGGAGCCCUCUCUCAUCCUCACAAAGAGACACAGCCUCACAAAGAGAAAUUAGGCCUUUGGGGAAACUGAAAGGGGGGAGUGAGGCAGAGAAGGGAGGGAAGAAUGUUUACCUGGCAGCACACUCCCUGGUUUUUCCACUUCCGGCCACCCCUUUGCUGACCCCACUCCUGCUCCGAAGUGUCCCUGUCCCCAGGGGCCAGUCUGUGGUCUCCUCGGUCCUCUGAUCUUGGGCACUUGAACAGCCACAACUCCCAGAUUCCUUUCUCCAAUCUAGAGCCCUCCCUUCAGCUCUGGAUUUAACCACCUCCUGGACAUUCACCACUAGACACUUGAGCUUCCAGGAACCUCGCCCUUCUCGAUCAUGUGCCUCCUCCCGGGGCUCCCACCGUGAUGACCGCCAAGCCGGAAACCGUGGUCCCUGCUGACUGCCUUCUCUGUCAUCCCCCACCUCCAGCUGGACCUUUGGGGCUGGCGUAUCUUCCUCCGUUCCUCUCAUUCUCUUCGUCUCCAUGUUGCAAUAGCUUCCGUUGUAGCCUGUAGCUCACCCACCUCCAGGCCCUCUGGGCUAUCAGGCUCCCUCAGCUGUGGGUCAGACGCUGUCAGGAUAAACCACAAAUGGCUCAUCCUGCCUGCCUGCUGUGUCCUCAAGCCCCCAGCCCCAGAGCCCGUCCCCGAGCUUAGAAGUCCUGCCCUUCGUUCACGACUCCUCUUGACUGAUUUUAUUUAUUUGAGAGAGAAUCUGAAGCAGACUUCACACUGAGCAUGGAGCCUGACACGGGGCUUGAUCCCAUGACCGCAGAAUCAUGACCUGAGUGGAAGUCAAGAGUCAGACGCUCAGCAGACUGAGCCACCCAGGCGCUCCUGUCUCCAUCCUUUGUGACCCUGCUCACCCAUCACCAGCUUGAGAGCUUUGCUGGGCACUUUCCUUUCCGCACCCACGAGCACAGUCUCGACAUCCCCCUUGGCGCCUCCAUAGUGUCAUGUGGUAAUUACCUCCUGAGCCGUCCGGCCUCACUCCUCUCCACCCCUGCCCCAGACUGCUAGGGCCUGGAACGCAUGCCCGGGCCUUUCUGACUGAGCCUGUGCCCAGCAGGGUCUCAGCAGAGAGAAGGUCACCAGCAAAUGGUGAUAGUCAUUCUGUGCUUCCAGUUGCCCAGAACAGAAACUGGAGCCAUCACCAACCUCCCUUUCUCUACAUCCUGCCCCCAAUCUCUAAGAAAGUCUUGCUGCUACUCCCUUGAAAACAUACCCAGAACAUAGCCAUUGCUCACCGCCAUCUCUUGCCUGGACUUGAGCAAUCACCCAGCCGGACUCAGUAUUUCCACCCAGGGGCCCCUUCAUUUUAUUCCCAAUCUAGCAGUCACAAAGAUCUUUCUGAAAUGUAAAUCAGAUUAAACCACUCCAGCUCACAACCCUACAGUGGCUCCCUGUUUCCCUCAGAGGAAAAGCCAAAGCCCUUCUAACAUAGGCAGGCUCGGUGCCACUCACCCUUCUGACCUCACCCCGGACCACCCUCCGCCCUCUCUUCUUCUUUAGCCAUUCCAGCCUUCUCACUGUUUGGAACUUCUCCCUUCGUCGUGGCUUCAUCUCCUGAGGUUACAUGAUGUCGACAGCAGGUGUCAGCCUAAUAAAACCACCACGACUGAGACAUCUGCCCAAUCUGGGUCAUGUUACUGAGGAGAAAGAUUCACGUUUUCUGGGCCUGAUGGGAUGUUAGUGACAUUAAGAAGGUGAGUGAAAGGCUGAGUCUGAGGCUUGCCCUUGUGGGCGAGUUCGUUUCUCCACAUCCCUGUGUGGAAAGUUCAUCUGAGGCCGUUUGCUUCCAGCUGUCAGGGCCAACGUGACACUCCCUGGCGACCUCAGGACUGUCCUGACUUUCCAGCCCUGAUCAGGCCCGUCUGUAGGGCCUCCUGUAUGUCACGAGCCUCCCUUAUAUCCACAGGACGUGGACUCAGCCCACCCUUGAUGAGGCUGUGAUCAGCUGAGCAGGAAAUAGCAACUGCCCUAGACACUUAGGAAGUACCUGUGUGCAGAGGGGAGAAAAGCCACAGAAACAGGGGCCGGGUGAUCCACCCCCAGCCUCCCACCCCUGUCUCCCUCCCUACCUCUCCCCCGCCCCAGACUCUGCUUUUUCCAUAGCAUGCCACUUGCUAACCUGCCAUAUAUUAUACUUGAUUAUUACACUCAUUGGUUACCAUGUGCCAUCCUUGCUAGAAUGUUCCCUCUAGCAGAACAAGGGCUUUAGUCUGACUUGUUCACUGACGAGUCCCAAAUGCCUACAGAAAUGCCUGGCACCUUGUGGAUACUUGUGUGGAUCCGUGGUGUCGGCCUCCCUCCAUCUUGGCAAAUAGUCCCUUUGUAAAUAGUCCCUCCUUGAGUUACGAUGUCUUGAGCGUGCCAUCUGAUUCCUGCCGAAGCACCGGUUGAUAGGAUGAUCAAUACACGUUCAUGGACUGGGGUGCCAGGUGGGCUCAGGCGGACGAGCAUGGGGCUCUUGAUCUCCAGGUCAUGAGUUUGAGCCCCACUUGAAUAAAAAAAAUUUUAAAACUUAGAAAAAACUGGGGGGCACCUUGGUGCUUCAAUUGGUUAAACAUUGACUCUUCAUUUCACCUCAGGUCAUGGUCUCAGGGUUCUGGGGUCGAGCCCCAGGUGAGCAUGGAGCCCACUUCAGGAUUCUGUCUCCCUCUGCCCCUCCCCCUACCCUUUCGCUCUCUCUUUCUCUCUCUCUCUAAAGUAAAAAAUAAUAAAUUUUUCAAGGAACCAAUCAGUCCAGUGUUUGUGAGAUGAAUGAAUGGUUGGCAACCCGUGGAAGAUCGCCCACUUUCCUGAACAUUCUCUUGUAUGUUGCUACUACAGAGACACUCUACUGCUCUCUUUUCCAACUUCUAGAAUGCUGAGGAAGGGGAGUGAAUCUGGUGGUUGGGUUUUCUUUUGCUGAUUGGGAGAGAGGAUGUGACUUCUUUCCCUGAAGCAGCCCCAGCAGGUGCACACCUGUGAUCAGGCUUAAGUGCUGUAUGCGUCCUCGAAGGAGGGUCAGUUCAGUGGUCAGAGCGACCUCUGACCUCUCCUCCUCUCAGCGCAUGAUUUUCCCGUUACUCAUUAUAGGAAAUUAAGCCCAGAGCCCAGGGAAACUGCCUCACACAUGAGCGCACGCCAGCCCGAGUGCAGGGUCCUCCCGAAGUCACACGGCAGGUCAGAGUCACAUUGUGGUUAUCUCUCAAUUUCUCACAUGACCUGGUUUCUUGGCUCUACUGGGGGGUAAAAACAUAAUCUGCUUAAUUUUCAGGAAAAUCUAAGUGAUAAAAAGUAAAACAGUGCAAGAUAAUUGCUUUUUACUUCCUAUCUCCUUCCAGGAUCUCCCCCUUUUCCUGCUUCUGUUUCCUUCUUCCCUCUCUCCCUUCCUUCUUUCUCUUUUCUCCCACCCUCCCUUUCUGUCUCAGUGUAUGUCAGGACCUAAACCACUGACCAGGGAAGUUAUCGGAUGCAAAAAUGCUUUAAGAACUCCAGCUGGCCUGUUCUCUAGGCUGGGAGAGGCCUCUCCCUGUAAACAACCAUCUGCAGGAGUGAGCCACGAUUUCCUUCUGGUCUCAGAGGUUUUAAAACUCACCAGGGAGUUUAUCACACACACGGCUCUGCCGGGAGGGCCCGAGUGCACUUCCCGUGGUACCUGUUGGAAUGGAGACAGAGCUCUCCCCUCAAAUGAUUCUAGACCCAGACCUUAAAGCCAGCACAGUGGAUCACAGGCCUAGAUGUAAAGUGCAAAACCAUAAAACUCCUAGAAGCUAAGAGAGGAGAAAACCCAGAUGCCCUUGGGUGUGCCAAGGACUUUUUAGAUUCGACACCAAAGGCACAUCCAUGAGAGAAAUCACAGAUAAGCUGGACUUGACUGAGAUUUAAGACAUCUGCUCUGUGAAAGACGAUGUCAAGAGAACGGAGAAGACAAGCCACAGACUGGGAGCAACUAUUUGCAAAAAACAUCAAAUAAAGGACUGUUACUCAAAAUAUACAAAGAACUCUUGAAACUCAACCAUAAGAAAACAAACUACCCUAUUAAAAAAUAGGUCAAAGACCGUAACAGACGCCCCCACCAAAGAAGAUACACGGAUGGCAAGUAAGGAUGUGGGAGGAUGCUCCGUGUCAUAUGUCAUUAGUGAAUCACAAACGGAAACAACAGAGGUGCCCCUGCACACCUCCUAGGAUGAGCCAAGUCCAGAGCACGGACACCGCCGCCUGCUGGCGAGGACGGGGAGCCGCAGAGACGCUCGCUCACCGCUGGUGGGAAUGCAGACCCGUGGGACCACUUUGGAAGUGACCGUGGGCUGGUUUCUUACCAAACUAAACAUUCUAUUACCAUAGGAUCCAGCAGUCAUGCUCCUUGGUAUUUACCCAAAGGAGCUGGAAACCUAUAUCCACGCAAAACCCUGCACGCAGAUGUUUAUAAUAGCUUUAGUCAUAAUUGCCAAAACUUGGGAGCAACCCAGGUGUCCUUUAGUAGGUAAGUGGAUAAAUAAACCAUGGCCCAUCCAGACAAUGGGAUAUUUUCAGUGCUACAAAGAAUUGUGCUUCUCCAAGCCAGGAGAAGACACGGAGGAACCUUCAAUGCAUAUCUCUAGGUGAAAGGAGCCGACCUGCAAAGGCCGCAUGCUGCAGGAUCCCAACUCGGUGGCAUUCUGAUAAAGUGAAGCAACGUACACAGUAAGAAAGAUUAGAGUUUCCAGGGUUUAUGGGGAACCGAUGAAGAGGUGAACACAAGACUUUCAGAGCACCGAGAGUGUUCUAGGCUGUUACAGUGAUGGAUCCAUGUCCACACAUCGUCAUCCGACUGUCCAAACCCGUAGAAGGUGCAGCACCGAGAAUGAGCUCUAAUGUCAGCUGUGGGCUUUGGGUGACGAUGGUGUGUCAUGUAGGUUCAGCACUUGGGGCAAAUACACCCUCUGGUGGGGAUGUGAUAAUGGGGAGGCGUGCGUGUGUUGGGGAAAAGUAUACGGGAAAUCUCUGUGCUUUCCCAAUCUUGCUAUGAACUUAACACUGCUGUCAAAAAGUAAAGUCUUAAUAAAACAAUUUUCCCCUUCA